rnacentral:lncRNA from 13 species
AUAAAUUAAGUUCGAUAUUAGAAUUCUUCAUAAUAGUUCGUUAAUUUUCUCCUGUGUAACAACGUAUAUUUCACAAUGAAAUAUUUUGCGUCUCUCUGUAUUCUUUUGCUAUUUGUGUGCUACUCAGUGCAAGUUCCACAAUAUGAGAACUGUCUUCGUGACGUACUUCCUCAAGCAGAUCGAGAAAGAUGUAUAAAAGUAACAUGCACAUCGCAGAACAGAUAUACAAUAGAAGAGUGUAAUUGUGCGAAGAAUGCAGGACAACAUCUUGGAGAACGUAAUUCUGAAUAUCCUGUUUGUUGUCCGCGGUGCAGUAAAGUUUAAUACGACAUAUUAAAAAUGUGAUAUUAGUCCCUAUGUGAUAACCUCUUAUACAUUACAAAUACAUAAAAUGUAUAAAAGUAUACGUAUAUAUGUGUGUAAAAUCUCUCUCUCGUUAUCAAUUAUUAUAUAUACCAAAUUAUAAAUAAAGUAUCAACAUUUACAAAUAUA